rnacentral:tRNA from 1 species
GCAUUGGUGGAAUAGUGGUGAGCAUAGCUGCCUUCCAAGCAGUUGACCCGGGUUCGAUUCGGCCAAUGCA